rnacentral:lncRNA from 1 species
GAUAAAAUGAAAAUUAAAAACAGCAAGUGUCAACCCUGACCAGAAUCCUAAUCUGGAAAGAAUGAGGGUGUGCGUGGUGCGCUCCACAGCUACUAUGUGCAAGACAUUCAAAAAUAAUGGAAUAUGGAUCCCUCAAAGUUGUUGUAUUUCAGAGAUUAUUUACUGUAUGUUGUGGGUUAUGAAUAAUGAAUUCAGCUUUCAAUAUUUCAUAAUCCUCUCCUACUCUGUAUUAUGUACAAAUAUUGAACAGCAAGAGAUUCUAAUUAUAAAUUUAUGGAUUUCUUGCUGUAGAAAAAUUUAUGUCUAAAUUGAAGCUUUUCAUAAGAUGUAUUAGUUGACAGGUAUCAGUGUUCAAACAGCCUUAGAAUGAUGCCUAAUUACAUCUACAAGGGAGUGAUUGUAUUCCACAAAGAAAUGAUGUGCUAGCAUCAGAUCCUUCAGAAGUAGAGCUCGAAUGGUAAAAGAUUUUCUGUGAAUUGAAACUAACAUUACAUAACAAUAACCAUUUUAUAUUCUGUUGUGAAACCUUUAGACAGAUGUCUUCAAAAUUAAUUGCUAAACUACAUGUGACAGUAAUUGUGUAUUAGUUCUGUAAUUGUCAUUUUGAAAACCCAUGAAGUAUUGCUUGGAAAAAAAUGUCACUAGUGAUAAGACUUAAUUGCAAGUGAAGUCUGUUUUCAACUGUUUGCAGUUAGAAGCAGGU